rnacentral:rRNA from 1 species
GGGUGAGUUAACACGUGAGUUAACCUGCCCUUAACUCUGGGAUAAGCCUGGGAAACUGGGUCUAAUACCGGAUAUGACUCCUCAUCGCAUGGUGGGGGGUGGAAAGCUUUAUUGUGGUUUUGGAUGGACUCGCGGCCUAUCAGCUUGUUGGUGAGGUAAUGGCUCACCAAGGCGACGACGGGUAGCCGGCCUGAGAGGGUGACCGGCCACACUGGGACUGAGACACGGCCCAGACUCCUACGGGAGGCAGCAGUGGGGAAUAUUGCACAAUGGGCGAAAGCCUGAUGCAGCGACGCCGCGUGAGGGAUGACGGCCUUCGGGUUGUAAACCUCUUUCAGUAGGGAAGAAGCGAAAGUGACGGUACCUGCAGAAGAAGCGCCGGCUAACUACGUGCCAGCAGCCGCGGUAAUACGUAGGGCGCAAGCGUUAUCCGGAAUUAUUGGGCGUAAAGAGCUCGUAGGCGGUUUGUCGCGUCUGCCGUGAAAGUCCGGGGCUCAACUCCGGAUCUGCGGUGGGUACGGGCAGACUAGAGUGAUGUAGGGGAGACUGGAAUUCCUGGUGUAGCGGUGAAAUGCGCAGAUAUCAGGAGGAACACCGAUGGCGAAGGCAGGUCUCUGGGCAUUAACUGACGCUGAGGAGCGAAAGCAUGGGGAGCGAACAGGAUUAGAUACCCUGGUAGUCCAUGCCGUAAACGUUGGGCACUAGGUGUNGGGGGACAUUCCACGUUUUCCGUACCGUAGCUAACGCAUUAAGUGCCCCGCCUGGGGAGUACGGCCGCAAGGCUAAAACUCAAAGGAAUUGACGGGGGCCCGCACAAGCGGCGGAGCAUGCGGAUUAAUUCGAUGCAACGCGAAGAACCUUACCAAGGCUUGACAUGAACCGGAAAUACCUGGAAACAGGUGCCCCGCUUGCGGUCGGUUUACAGGUGGUGCAUGGUUGUCGUCAGCUCGUGUCGUGAGAUGUUGGGUUAAGUCCCGCAACGAGCGCAACCCUCGUUCUAUGUUGCCAGCGCGUUAUGGCGGGGACUCAUAGGAGACUGCCGGGGUCAACUCGGAGGAAGGUGGGGACGACGUCAAAUCAUCAUGCCCCUUAUGUCUUGGGCUUCACGCAUGCUACAAUGGCCGGUACAAAGGGUUGCGAUACUGUGAGGUGGAGCUAAUCCCAAAAAGCCGGUCUCAGUUCGGAUUGGGGUCUGCAACUCGACCCCAUGAAGUCGGAGUCGCUAGUAAUCGCAGAUC